GGGAGGAAGCAAGAGAAGAAGGUGUGGUCAGAGCCAGUGGUCAGGAGAUAACAUCCAAGGCUUGGUGUCCCAGCCUGACAUUCAACAAGCCCUUCCAAGCUGUGAGUGGCCAGGUCAGCCUGUUCACACAUGGAAAUUACCCCUGUCCAGGAAAAAGAUGAGCAAA